rnacentral:rRNA from 1 species
ACACGACUACAUUAGAUACCCGCGUAGUCCCAGCCGUAAACUAUGCGCGUUAGGUGUAUCGGUGACCACGAGUCACCGAGGUGCCGAAGGGAAACCGUGAAACGUGCCGCCUGGGAAGUACGGUCGCAAGGCUGAAACUUAAAGGAAUUGGCGGGGAGCACCACAACGGGUGGAGCCUGCGGUUUAAUUGGACUCGACGCCGGGAAGCUCACCGGAUAAGACAGCGGAAUGAUUGCCGGGCUGAAGACUCUGCAUGACUAGCUG